GCAGUUCCCGUUAUAAUCACCGAAGUUAAACAACAUCAAGCCUGGCCAGUACCUAGAUGGGUGACCGCUUGAGAAUAUCAGGAGCCGUAAG